CUGAAUGUUUGCUUUUCUAUCUCCAUUUGCCAAGUAUAAUUGGUUGCUAUGUCAGUUUAUUUAAAUCAGAUCCCAUAAAGAAAGGAGAAAUGGGGGAGGAGGGAUGCUUUUAAAUUCCAGAUUUUGGAACAUUUUAUCCUGCUAACUUGCAACACUGUCUGAAGAAGAAAAAAGCACACUUCCUAAGAGAAUGAAGCAACUGAUAUUCUGGAUAGCAGCUUUCAGUUUACAUGGUCAGAGAUAGGUUUAGCAGCCUUAAUAACUUAUCAGACUUGUGCACGUCGUUUCCUAAAUAUAGUCAAUUAUUCCUGUUAAGACAGAUAUGGAAGUGACAGUUAAUUUUGAAGGGUUUCUGCGUCCAUGUACACUUCAAAAUUUUUGCUCCUUCCUAAGACACCCAGGUACCAGCCUACUAUCCUUUCCUCCGAGAAGACUUAGUGAAGAGAAGAAAGUCAACUGGAGGCUAAAGCAUCAGAAGCAUAAUUUUUCAUUCCUUUUGUUAUUUUGAGCAAACUGAAUCCCAAAGUCAUAAGGUCAGGAACAGAGGGAAAAACCUUCUUUGCACUUCCUCUUCUAAUUUUCCUUUUUCUCCGUUUAUUCUUGGUGUUAGCUACAAAUUACCCUCCUGUUUAUUGUUGCCUUCUAGUGCUACUUCUCUUCUUUUCCCCCCUCCAGGGUCAGUUACUGAUGACCCCAGUUAAAAAUAAAGUUAACUUAGUCAAGACAACAGAAGAAAAAAACCACUACUACCACCAAAAAAAACCCAAAACAAUUAAUCUACAUCAAUUCAGUGCUCUCAUUUGCAGCAUGACCAGCGUGCUGGUGCCACAGUAAUUGAGGAUGUGACUAGCUGCAGUGCAGGAUAUGUGUAAGGCUUAGAAUAGGAUACAGGAGCUCCUUAGGAUGGUAUUGCUGCUGAAAACCUUAUACUGGAAAGUGGUGGCCUUGGCAGAGGAAGAGGAAAUAAUUUUCAUUCAUCAGUACUCACACUGAGAUUAUCAGCGGUAUUUUCCCAAAUUCAGUUUUCACAUUCACAUAUGAUAACAACCCUUCUCUUUCAAGGUCAAUGGGAACAUCUCUAGCAGCGCUAAUCAGAACUUUCUUCUGUUUCAGAAUUUAACACACACACUCACUAUAAUUCAGAAGGCUUGAAGAUAAUUUUCUUCACUUAUUUAAUACUAAAGUUAAGGUUUAAAAGUUACUUACGUGACUGUCUCACGUUUGAUUUUGGAAGGGAGGGAUCUGUUUUAAAACAAAAAAUAAUUAAUCAGACAGAAUUCCACAAAGAACCUACAAACUAUGCAAGAAACCUUCAGGAUCUGAUCUGGCAGAAAGACAUGAAUUGUAAUCUUUGACAACCAGGAACUUCGGGAAAAACAGUUCAAAUUCAGUAAUCUUGCUCAGCUUAGAAAAAUUCCAUUCAUAUAUUGAUAAUUCCUCAGAGGAACAUAUCUACAGUAUAAGUUCACGCAGCAUGCAUUUUGCUGGCAAGUGCAUUGCAACCUUCCACACCCAGAUAUCACCAGUUCUGACCUGCAACUGUUCUUGUAAUCCAUAUGAGGAGCUCUUUAAGAGCACAGAUAACAAGGGUUAUUUUAAGGUGAUUCAUAUGAUUUAUAUUUAUCACAUUCAUAUGAUUUACUCACCAAUCACAACCAUGAUACCAGCAUGCUAAAACACAAACAAAAACACAAAGCAAAACAAAAACUCAAAAAUAUGGCUAUCAACUCUAAAGAAAGAUCAGAAUUAUGGCACAAUACAUGCUGCUUUGUCCAAAUUACAUGAGUAUAUAUUGAUUCAUGCAUUUUCCUACAUCCUAAUGGGUAUUCUGCUUUGGAUGUUGGGUUUUUAUUUUGUUCUGUUUUUUAAAAAUAUAUAUAUAGGAAAUCAAAGACCAUCUAUUAGACCAAACCUAUUUUUCUUGGCAUUAUCAUCAUCACUAUCAGCAUGUAGCAGAAAGUAAAUACGUGUCAAGAAUUGAAGAAUUUUCCCUUCUUUUGAUUAACUUUUCCUCUUAUCUUUCUCCAAGAAUGCCACCUCCAGCAGAAAAGCUAGAGAUUCUGGCUUCAGACCCAAGGCACUGUUUGGUUAGCUGGAGUUUGCUUCUCUGCUGCCCAGUAACCUAGGGAUCUUGUUUAAAUUCUGGUGUAUUUGAGUAUGUUCACUACAAUAGCUGGCUGUAAAAGGACUUGAUAAGACAGUAUCCCAAUACUUGUUUUUGUAUCUUUAGGGACUGGAAAAAACAAGUUUGUCUGCAGUGCUAACACAAUGGUGCAAAAGUACUGAAAACAAGUAUGUUAUUUAGAGUAUUCUUAAACCAAGACUGCUUCUCACUUCUAAACUCUUGUGGGAGCACUAAACUGCCAUCAGUAUCCUGUAUGAUCAUUAUUCUCUCAGACGUGCCUACAAUAUACAAAAAAGCGCUUUAUUCUUAAACUGCAUUACUGUCAGUUACUCUAACACCUAAUUAUCUCCUCCAGAUCACUCUUGGCAGGAUAGUAGGAAACAGGUGGAACAGCAGUAGGAAACAGGUGAGAACAGAGUGUUCGCGUGUACUUGUGCGCAUGUGCACACAAUACACUGGAAAGGCAUCAAGCACUUGUAACAGCAAGAGUAUAACUGAAGGUAAGAGUUGUUAGGAAGGCUGGACUGAAACUAGGAAGCAUUAAACGGUACAAACAUGGGUAAAGGCACCAACAGAUUGUCCAAAUGCUCUACUAGCAUAUCCCAAGUGCCAGCAACAUCCCUUCUGAGAUAAGGGGAAAAUUAAUUUUCCAUGCUCAUUCUGUCACUGGCCUCCAUGCAGAGAAUAUAAGCCUGCUAAUUAAUGAUAGGCUCUGUAGCCCGUUAUAAAUUCUCCCCACUGAUUCAGUUCUUCUUUUAACAUGGGUAACAACACAGGAACAGUAAGAAUCCUUGAAGUCCAGGGAAAGCAUCUAACUUAAAACAGCAGCAGCUGGCCUUUAAAAAUUAUCAUGAUGCUUUAAGCUUUUUCAGGAUAGAGGAACCCAUUAGCUGUUCAACUUGACCUCCUUUCUAUGGCUUGUCUCCCUUUGCUGAAAUAACAAUGCUUGCCAAAAAUUAAAAAAAUGAAAUUAGUAGACUAUUUCAACAGAAGAGCAAAUAUUUCCUAGUAUUUAAAAAGCUAGCUAUAUGCCUUUCACUGACUUGGGGCUGGAGUGUUAAAAUGCCACAAUGCAUAGGAAAAGUACAUGACAUGAAGCUUUUAUACACUUUCAUUGGGAUCUAUUGCAAUAAUGUUAGUAACUGAACUCAUAUAAAACUAAAAAAAUUAUUAGGGGAAGAAGAAUUAGCCUCAUAUAGAUUCAUAUAAUCACAUGCAAUUCAUUUAAUACUUCAUAUAAUCUCAUAUAAUCACAGUUGGGAUUUCUUCUAGAGUUGAUGACGAGUCAUAAGCUUGUGUCAGAAGAAAAGAUGACACCUUUGCAAUGAUCAUAUUAAGACUUUUUAAAUUUCAAGUACAUGACUUCUUCAUUUGGCUUACAGAGCAGCUCCAAUAGCAGUAACUCAAAUAAUAUGACUUACAACAAUGAAAUAAAAUGAUAAACACCACCUCUGAAAUAUAAAUUCUCCUCUUCAGUAAUGCAAUAUGAUUUCUUCUUCAAAUCUUAGGUUCACGGACAACAAUGGCAUUUGGCUUUUAGAAAGGGGUCAUUUGAUUCACUGCUGAAUAACUGCAUACCAACAAAGCUACGCUGUUAAUGUGCUGCCUUAUAUUGUGUCUGAAAGCUGUGAUAUGCUGGGGGAGAUUUCCAUCAAACAUCCCACAAUUAGA